UUGACCAUUAUAAAAACAAUAAAAAAAAUGAUAUAUAUUAAUUAUUAUAGGAGAGAAAAUGACAAUCUCCCUUCAUAAAAUGAAAUUUUAUCAAAAUGUGGGUUCAGUGAGCAUUUUAGGUUUGAUUACCGUCCAAUACACAAAUGUCUUUUCCUUUCCCCUUUGCCAAGAAAAGUUACGGGGGAGGGCCAAUAGCUUCACUCUUUUUACUUUUCCUCCUUUUAACAGCCAUAGAUGAUGAAAUUUGCAGAUACCGCGUUGGUGAUGGCGAAUGACGCCGCUGGCUUGGCUGGUUUGUUACGCCACGUCCAUUUCUACAACUUCUAAUUGCACUUUUUCUUCUCUAUUUUUGGUCAGUCCGCCGCAACAAUUAUUAUCGUUUCAAAGCUAAAACAAAAUGAUACAUGUCAAUGUCAAUGUCAUGUUGGUGCGCGUUGCGUCAAUAACUCUUCUUUGCCACUCCUAUUUUAGUCUUCACAUAUUCCCAGUGUUGACUCCGUCGUCGUCUCUCCUCGACAUCAAAUAAUUCAAACCACUAACAAACAAUAUUAAUUAUUUAAUUUUCUCAAGUGUCGGGUAGAUUUUGUCUCUAAUGGACGCAACUUACCUACAAUACAAAUACACUCUAUAAUAAUAAUGUGAAUGCAUGAAUUCUGAUUAAUACCGAACCAAAAAAAAAAAAACAAUAAAACAAUAACACUUCAAUUUCUUAGUACGUUGCUUGCUACGCGACGUGACGACAUACAAUCAUUUUGGUGUGAGUCACAAAAAUUGAAUGAUUCAAACGCUCUCAGGCUUGUUUGAUAAUUAUCAUGACACCGGCCUUUUAUUGGCAAAUGGUGGCCCAACUUUAGGAAUUAUUUAUUGCAUAUUCUUGCACUCAAAACUGGUUUGAAUUAAUUCAAUUAUAUACACACAAGUCUUGGCCUACAGCUAGAAAUUGAAAAUUAUGAUUUAUGAGAGGGGUUAUGUUUAUUAUCAAAUAAUUUAUCUUUGAUUAUAAGAAACUUCAAAACUUUGACCACAUAAAAUUCAAUUGAUCAAUGAAAGAUCAACGUACGCUACCCACACCGCGUCGCUGAGAUCACUUACCAUCCCAUAUUUUCCAUUACAUGAUUACAUCAAGCAUUUUCAACGCCGUAAACUUUCGUGAUAUUUUUACGAAGUUGGGGGAAGUUGCUUUUAGACUUUUAAUGGUUUCACACGUGUCGACAAAAUCACGGAGGACUUGUUGUUUUGUCAACACAUUCUUGUCGUCCUUUUCCCUUGAGAUGCGGAGGAAACACACACGCGGCGGCACCUCGCCAAUUCAUUCUUUAUAAAUUCCUUGUAAUAGGGUUCUCAUUUAUUAUUUAACUAAAAAAUAGAACCGCGCUUCACGCGACUUUAAAAAAAAUAUU
rnacentral:lncRNA from 1 species